CUUUUCUCAUCCCACAAUCAACAAACUCUUCUCAUAAAAAGAAAAACACUCCCUCUUCUUUAUCUGACUUUCUCCAUCUUUCCACACACACACAUAUGCCAAAAUUCCCACAAAACAGUGAUAUGACACUACUGCUUAAACACUCACUUUGAAGUUCAGUCAUAUGGAAUUUAUAUAUAUAUAUAUAUAUGUGAAAUAUUUAUGUCACAUAGUACAAUUGAGUAACACUCAUUUUGUAUUAUUCAGCAUAUUAUUUUGUCUUUGGAAACAUUAUUAUGCCAAAUAAUGGUGUGUCGGCUUUUGGUGGCUCUUUAAUUAAUUAUCUCUUUCACACACCAUAUAGUGUAUGUGUAUGUAUUAUCAUUCUUCAUUCCAUCUUUAUAAAUUAUAAUCUUCACUUCUCUCUCUCUCUUUCUGAAUGGUUCUAUCUGGAGGGUUUCUCAAGGGUAAUUCGCAGAGCUAAUUUGGCAUUCUGUCCACCUCCAUGAGUGGUCUUGGUAUUUCAUAUGCGGCCGAUGUGUGUAGUAGUUUAAUACAUGUGGCGUGGCGUGCAUUGAUGAUACGGAUCGGAGACAAAAGAAAUUGAGAUUAGAUGUGUGAGGAUGCCAUGCUACAGGAGGCGGCCAGCUUGUCAAAUUAGCCCUUGGGAAGUCCUAGUGAUGUGACAGCGGAGUGAGAAAUCUUUAUAAUGUGGCAGAAGGUGAUUUUUAGAAGUCCUAGUGCUAGUCCAUGGGAAAGUCCAUUUUACUAUGGAUGCUCCAAACAAGAAUGUAAAGGGAUUCAACUUUUUCUACCCUUUCUCUACUAGAUUUUUUAUUUGCGUGUAAUUACCUGAACUUUUCUCGAACUUUCAUUUUUUUCAAAUUUAAAUACGUGAAUUUAAGAAUUUUCUGAUACCCCCCUCCCGACCAAGAAUUUUGAUCAGAUUAAAAUUAUUUUUGAAUUUCUUUAACUUUUCUGUAAAUACAAGUCUAUAUUUGAAUUACAUUAGUCUAA